rnacentral:misc_RNA from 1 species
GUGAGUCAUCGAAUCUUUGAACGCACAUUGCGCUCGCCAGUAUUCUGGCGAGCAUGCCUGUUCGAGCGUCAUUUCAACCAUCAAGCUCUGCUUGCGUUGGGGAUCCGCGGCUGCCCGCGGUCCCUCAAAAACAGUGGCGGGCUCGCUAGUCACACCGAGCGUAGUAACUCUACAUCGUUCUGGUCGUGCGGCGGGUUCUUGCCGUAAAACCCCCCAAUUUCUAAGGUUGACCUCGGAUCAGGUAGGAAUACCCGCUGAACUUAAGCAUAUCAAUAAGCGGAGGA